GUGGGGAAUUUUGGACAAUGGGCGAAAGCCUGAUCCAGCAAUGCCGCGUGCAGGAUGAAGGCCCUCGGGUUGUAAACUGCUUUUGUACGGAACGAAAAGCCUGGGGCUAAUAUCCCCGGGUCAUGACGGUACCGUAGGAAUAAGCACCGGCUAACUACGUGCCAGCAGCCGCGGUAAUACGGAGGGUGCAAGCGUUAAUCGGAAUUACUGGGCGUAACGCGUGCGCAGGCGGUUUUGUAAGACGAUGGUGAAAUCCCCGGGCUGAACCUGGGAACUGCCAUGGUGACUGCAAGGCUAGAGUGCGGCAGAGGUGGAUGGAAUUCCGCGUGUAGCAGUGAAAUGCGUAGAUAUGCGGAGGAACACCGAUGGCGAAGGCAAUCCCCUGGGCCUGCACUGACGCUCAUGCACGAAAGCGUGGGGAGCAAACAGGAUUAGAUACCCGGGUAGUCC
rnacentral:rRNA from 1 species